rnacentral:rRNA from 1 species
UACGAAGGGGGCGAGCGUUGUUCGGAAUCACUGGGCGUAAAGGGCGCGUAGGCGGCCCUCCUUGUCGCGUGUGAAAGCCCCGGGCUCAACCUGGGAACGGCGCGCGAGACGGGGGGGCUGGAGUUCGGGAGAGGAGCGUGGAAUUCCCAGUGUAGAGGUGAAAUUCGUAGAUAUUGGGAAGAACACCGGUGGCGAAGGCGGCGCUCUGGACCGAGACUGACGCUGAGGCGCGAAAGCGUGGGUAGCAAACAGG